ACUGAACGCUGGCGGCAGGCUUAACACAUGCAAGUCGAGCGGGGUGAUGGUGCUUGCACUAUCACUUAGCGGCGGACGGGUGAGUAAUGCUUAGGAAUCUGCCUAUUAGUGGGGGACAACAUCUCGAAAGGGAUGCUAAUACCGUAUACGUCCUACGGGAGAAAGCAGGGGAUCACUUGUGACCUUGCGCUAAUAGAUGAGCCUAAGUCGGAUUAGCUAGUUGGUGGGGUAAAGGCCUAACAAGGCGACGAUCUGUAGCGGGUCUGAGAGGAUGAUCCGCCACACUGGGACUGAGACACGGCCCAGACUCCUACGGGAGGCAGCAGUGGGGAAUAUUGGACAAUGGGGGGAACCCUGAUCCAGCCAUGCCGCGUGUGUGAAGAAGGCCUUAUGGUUGUAAAGCACUUUAAGCGAGGAGGAGGCUCUUUUGGUUAAUACCCAAGAUGAGUGGACGUUACUCGCAGAAUAAGCACCGGCUAACUCUGUGCCAGCCGCCGCCGUAA
rnacentral:rRNA from 1 species